rnacentral:lncRNA from 10 species
UCCCUCCCUCCCUCCCUUCUCUUCUUUCCUCCUUCUUCCCCCAAUCCCUUCCCUCCUUCCCUCCCUUCUCCCCAUCCCCAUCCACGGAUCCAUCCUAUGGACCCCAUCCUAUGUGUCCCUGAAGACCCCCGAGUGGCAUAGCAUUCGUUUGCAUGUGUGUGGCAUUGGCAGGGGAGUCUGGGCAGGGGGUGGUCAGUGCAAUGACUUGGGCCUGAAAGAAUGAGGUUUUGGUGGUGAGCUCUUCCCCUGUGGAGCUGAAUGUGCAGCCGUGUGUUUUGUUCACGGCUUCCUGCGUCUGCCCUCUAGAGGCCCACAGAAGCCUCGCACCUCCCCAGCCCGGCGUCUGCGGGUGAAUUGUCUGAGCAGGAGCACAACAGCUUAAGCUUCAUGUUCUCCGGGCCCAGGUGAAAUACUCUCACCCCCUCUGAUGGCCACUUUCCAAUCCUGUUAUCCGCCCCCAGUCUUGUGAUCUGUCCCACAGCAAACACUCCUUCCAGGUGUGAGUUGUGCCAAGGAACACUGUUUCGUUGUCACACAUAGUACUUAGACGCAGUGAGUGAAGAGACACUUGGUCCCGGGCCCCCUUCUCUGCACACACUGCCCUGUGUGCUACAGCAUGCCAGGCAGGGUGCCAGGACAGCAGGCCCGUGAAGACCAUGGCGGCGGCUGUCUGAAGACCAGCUCACAGCAGGAGCUGCGCUGAGAUCUUCUCCUGGGUGCUCAUGCUGGGGCCCGAGGUCGUAUGGAAAAGGCUUGUCCCCCUUGCUGGAUGUCACAAGGCUCAGCCACGUGGAUAGAAGCUGCUUGGAUGACCACAUUAAGUGAAUGGCCGCAUCUGUGCACUGGCUCUGCAGCCCUGGGCAGCGACACAGAGACAGCAAGCAGAGCAUCCAUCACCAGGAUUCUCAGGCAGGUGUUACACCAGAGCUCAUGCGUGUCUGGCCCCAGGCUCUGAGCUGUGGCGCAUUCUUCUUGCACAUGCCCUGUAGGCCGGGUGAAAUGUUGUCACUGAAGGUGAGCUAGGAAGUCACAGGGCAGGUUUCACAAGAGACACAUCACAAAGACCCUGCUCAUAAAACAGGAUGUGGGAGAGAAGCCAGCCAAAACCAAGAUGGUGGCAAAAGAAACCUCUGUUCAUUAUACACUAAUCAUAAUGCAUUUGCAUAUGCUCAAUGACGUGCCUGGCAGCACCAAGACAGUUUACAGACGCCAUGGCAACGUCUGGAAGUUACCCUAUGGGGUCUGAAGUGGGGAGGAAUUCUCAGUUCUUGGGGAAUUCCCUGCCUUUUUCCCAGAAAACUCAUGAAUAAUCCACCUGUUGUUCGGCAUAUAAUCAAGAAAUAACCAUAAAAAUAGCCACCCUUUUAUUCCUGUGCGGUAACCACCCAUUUAUUUCUUUACUUUCUUGAUUAACCUGAUUUCACUCUGUCCUCUUGCUCUUUUUUUUUUUUUGAGACAGAGUCUCGCCCUGUCACCAGGCUGGAGUGCAGUGGCAUGAACUCAGCUCACUGCAACCUCCACCUCCCGGGUUCCAGCGAUUCUCCUGCCUCAGCCUCCCGAGUAGCUGGGAUUACAGAUGUGCACCACCACGUCCAGCUAAUCUUUGUAUUUUUAGUAGAGAUGGGAUUUCACCAUGUUGGCCAGGCUGGUCUCAAAAUCCUGACCUCAAGCAAUCCACCUGCCUCGGCCUCCCAAAGUGCUGGGAUUACAGGCGUGAGCCACUGUGCCCAGCCUGUCCUCUCACUCUUGAAUUCCUUCCUGCAUGACACUAAGAACCCAUGUGACCUCCCGGGAUGAGCCCCGAUUUGGGGGUUCACCUGUGAUAAAGUAAGCUGGUGAACAGCAGGGAAGCACUCUGUGUCUGUAGCUUCCUGUGAGUAUGCAAUCAUUUCAAAAUUAAAAGUUUGUUAAAGCUAUAAAAAUUAUAAAAUAAAUUAAUAAAAAUCAUUGUCUCAAUCUUCACAAC